rnacentral:rRNA from 1 species
GGACUACUAGGGUUUCUAAUCCUGUUUGCUCCCCACGCUUUCGUGCAUGAGCGUCAGUGUUAGACCAGGAGGCUGCCUUCGCCAUCGGUAUUCCUCCACAUCUCUACGCAUUUCACUGCUACACGUGGAAUUCUACCUCCCUCUUCUACACUCUAGCCUUGCAGUUUCCAACGCAGUUCCCAGGUUGAGCCCGGGGAUUUCACAUCAGACUUGCAAAACCGCCUGCGCACGCUUUACGCCCAGUAAUUCCGAUUAACGCUCGCACCCUACGUAUUACCGCGGCUGCUGGCAC